AUAUCUGGCAAACAAUUAUCUUACUAUUUACUAAUCCAUUUCCUUUGCUAUUUUCUGGAAAGUGUGGGCUGCCAGGCUCAGUGCAACUUUAUAAACAUGGGGAAAGAUUGACUGUUUAGUGUAGUUAAUUAUUCCUCUUUUGUUCACAAUGACAGUCUGUCUUAAAACACCCCAAGACCCCUGAGUUUAGACUUUCUCCUAAACCCUCCAGUGUUAGCAGGUGUACAAGGGCUUAGGAAGACAAUUGUUGAUAAAAUACUAGCUAGUGCCUCAAAGACCCAUAACCACAUUCUUCUUCUGACCCAACCAUAGGAGAGGGCAAAGGUGGGAGCGUUCCUUUCUAUCUCCUCACCCGAGGAUGUACAUCCACUCUUCUCUUUAAGGGUUGGGUGGUAUUUACAGUAGAUGUGUGUAUACACCCUCCUUAGCCUGGUGCGAAUUGUCCAAAUGACUCCCCCUUCCUUCAAACCUCAACUUGAAUAUUCCUUCUCCUAGGAAGCCUUUCUUGAUGGCCCAAGAUGGGGCGUGGGUCCGGGAUGCCCCUUUGCACAACUGCAGGGAUGGUGCUCACAUUGUGUUUUAAGUGGAUGGUGCUUCCUAUAGUUAAGGCAGUGAGUCCAUCCUCUCCAUGUGCCCCUCUUCCCUGCUACCUCUUCCACUGACUUGACUCUGCUGAACCAGAACUGUUUGCUGGUUUCCUCAAGGGCAGGGACUCUUAUCUCAUAUAGUUGAACCUGACAGAAUAUAUGCUCAGGAAAGGCUCAAUUGAGUUGCUAAAUUGUGUGGCUCUGGUCCUGUAUUCCCUGAUGUCCAGAUAUGAUCAGGCAGUGGCCAACAGUUUUUUUUUUUGUUUUUUUUUAGGGCCACACCCACAGCAUUUGGAAAUUACCAGGCUAGGGGUCAAAUCAGAGCUGCAGCUCCCAGCCUACACCAUAGCCACAGCAACGUGGGAUCUGAGCCAUGUCUAAGACCUACACCACAGCUCAUAGCAACGCUGGAUCUGUAACCCACUCUGCAAGUCCAGGGAUUGAGCCUGCAUCCUCAUGGAUACUAGUUGGGCUCUUAGCCCACAGAGCCACAAUGGGAACUCCGAGUUACCAUAGUCAUGUUAAGGAAAAGGAGUGCUACUAAACCCAUUAGGUGGAGUCUCCCUGUUCCUUGUUAUUUAUGAGUGUUACCUCCUUCCAGGCCUUAGAACCCUGUGUAUCUUCUGAGAGAACAGGGUGAGGGUGGAGGGGAGUGAGUGGCUGAAUAAACCCAGGUGCUCCAGCCUUGGUUGGUGCCAUGGAUUUUUAAGAAAGCCUGUUCACCCCCUCCCACACCCUUUCUCUUUUCUGAGGUACACCUGUCAGUCCUAAAUUUGGUUUUUAGUGGCAGAGGAUUAUAUAUUCAUUAAGGCCUGAUUUGUUAUUUUGUUAAUUUAAUAUUUUAUGAGUAUAUAAGUAUUUAUGGAAGUAUCAAAGUCUUUGAAAUGAAGAAAAUUGGUUCUGCUUUGUGGAAAACAAAUCCUUCUGCUGUAGUACAUUUCUCUAUUAAAAAAAAAGAAAGAAAAACUGAUUUUCAGAGUCCUGCCAACAACACUCUAAAUGUAAGUGCUAGAUUUGCAAAUAGGCUUAUAUUCAUAUUUAGAGAAUAUGCAUAUUCAGAGACAUAUUAUUCAGGAAAUAUCUGGUUAUCUUCAGACUUAGUAAAACUUAUGGCUAAAAAUAAGAGGGGUAAAAUAUAAAUAGUGGGGAAAGUGAGGGAGGAUGAACAGCAGCCAUUACAAGAAUAGAAUAGAGAGGAAGAGGAGAGGAGAACUGUGUGUUAUUUUCUGUUUUGGUUUAUAUCUUCACCACCACUUGAAAUUCAGUUCAAUUUAACAAACAUUACCUGCGUGCCCAGCAUGCAGAGGGCCAGAAGAUGCAAUAUCAGCCUCCAAGUUGUUUGAGUUGAGCAGACACAAUAUAAUGACUGACUCCCCAGCAUUCUCUCUUCCACGUUCUAAAGCCAUCAUGAAGUGUAGGGAUUGGACUCAGUCACCAAAGAAUGCUUCCAACACCCAAGCCUAAGCCUGCAGAGCAUUCCUCAGGCCACAGUGGUUGGUUCAGGAAUGACUGUGUGACCCAGUUCAGUCCAUUGAGACGCAAAAGGCCAUUUUCUGAGGGCUCCCAGGAGAGUUUCCUGGUUCCUACAUCAGAGAAUUGAUGGUAGGAUACUUUUUACAGAGCCCCAAUUGGGUAUGAAUAGGAGACCCACAAGCACUGCAGCCUCUGGUUGUUUGUCUGAGGAUGAAAGUUGUGAACAAAGAUCAAGAGAGACAAUAAAAUCUCAGAGAAAUGGAUGGAGAAGCCUGAUCAGGCCUUGCCUGAAUUUACACUAAUACUUAAUUUAAUUUUAACUCUAUGAGUCAAUAGAUCAUUUUUAUUGUUUAGGGCAAUUUGAGUUGGCUUUUCUCAUUCUAACGGGUGCAGUCGGUAAACCCGCUGAGAUUUUUGACACUUGUCAGAAUCUGAAAAAUGAUGUAAAGUUUAUGCUGAAGAGCAAAGCAAAGUCCAUCAGGGAAGAGAAUCUCAUUACUAGUCGUUGUAGAGUGCAAUACAAUGAAUAUUAUCAAUUAGAAAUUAAACUCGCCCAGCAGAACAAAUAGCCAACAUUAAAUAAGGGAAACCUAAGUUAGAAAUGAAUCAUGGAAUUUGAGAGUUAAAAGAGACCUCAAAGCUUAGAUCGGAAACCCCCUAGAUUUCCUGUGCACAAAUAGGCCCCGAGAGGCUAAGGAACUUGCCGCAAGUCACUGAGCUGAGUUGAGCAAGGUUGAGAACCCGGUUUUCUUGAAUUCCAAAUGGGGUUCUUUCUGCUGCAUUACACAUAGUUUCCUCUCUAAAGAUAGGAAAAGAAAUAGGAAAAUGGUAUUUUAAAAUGUCAGCAUAGGAAAAAGAGUGGGGGAAAUACUGCAUUUUCAUUUAACGGGGAUUUAGGAAGCUCAUAAUAGAAAUGUUGGAUAUUUUGUUUUUAAAUAAGACCAUGGCCUUUACUAAAAGGUUGAGCAUAUGCUACCGUGUGGAACCACCUGGGGUGGCACCGUUGCCAAGCACCCCACCUAAAGCAAGGCACCGUUCAAUCCAUUCUCACCCUGAACCCACGACCCACCCCACCUGACCCCUGCUCCAGAUUGUCAGUCAGCUGGCUGUCACAAUGCUUAGACUAUGCAUUCUUUUACAAGGUAAAACAAAAAUCACUUCAUAAAGGGUCAAGACAAUAGUGUGUUCAGCCUGAUGUCUGCCUCAACAUUCCCACUAAGGGAUGUUUUUCUCCCUUUAUUCUUCAUACAUGUUAAGUGAGGUAGGAGAUUCAAGUAGAACUGCAUGAUGCUAAAACUGCAAUCAAAUGGAUCUCUGGAGUUAGAACUGGGUUCUGGUCUCAGGUUAUAUUUUAGUUGCUUUACCAUCUUAAACAUGUUUAAUCUCUGAGUUUCCUUUUCCUUGUCUGUUAAACUAACAACUGCCCAGAGUUCCCGUCGUGGCUCAGUGGUUAACGAAUCCAACUAGGAACCAUGAGGUUGUGGGUUCCAUCCCUGGCCUUGCUCACUGGGUUAAGGAUACUGAAUUGCCGUGAGCUGUGGUUUAGGUUGCAGACACGGCUCGGAUCCCGAGUUGCUGUGGCUCUGGCGUAGGCCAGCAGCUACAGCUCUGAUUAUAGUCCUAGCCUGGGAACCUCCAGAUGCCGCUGGAGCGGCCCGAGAGAC
rnacentral:lncRNA from 1 species